GGUUUGACACUUGUGGGAUCAGAGGUGGCUUUUUCACGGCGUUUGGGUGACGUGUGUAGGGGUGGGCUCAGAAGCCCAGCUGAAAACAGAGACAUGGAAUGGCUGCUAGAAAUGACAGGAUUCUAGCUGCAGGGGGUGUUGGUGGUUCUGUUUGUAUGUUUGUACCUGGCCAACAGAGCAAGACUCUGCCUCAAAAAAAAAAAAAUUAUUUGAUAAGAACUGUCGUCUCUUUCCCUCUCCCAAGGAGGUGGCGGCCAUUUGCUGAUGGGGAAUUUUACUCUGAUAGAACUUCCUUAUGUGGGUAAAUGGGUGGGGUGCCUCAAGGAUAGCGGCAUUCACAUCAGAAGGAAAAAACUAUUUCCCAACUCCUCUCCUCUUUGGUCCCUGCCAGUACUGUCUUCACUGACUAACAAGACAGAACGGAUCAUCUUCCAAUAGCAGCCCUCUGCUUGUUCCCAAAUUCUAUUUGAAUAUCUCAAGCACGACUCU
rnacentral:lncRNA from 1 species